rnacentral:rRNA from 1 species
AGUGAACGCUGGCGGUAGGCCUAACACAUGCAAGUCGAACGGCAGCACAGUAAGAGCUUGCUCUUACGGGUGGCGAGUGGCGGACGGGUGAGGAAUACAUCGGAAUCUACUUUUUCGUGGGGGAUAACGUAGGGAAACUUACGCUAAUACCGCAUACGACCUACGGGUGAAAGCAGGGGAUCUUCGGACCUUGCGCGAUUGAAUGAGCCGAUGUCGGAUUAGCUAGUUGGCGGGGUAAAGGCCCACCAAGGCGACGAUCCGUAGCUGGUCUGAGAGGAUGAUCAGCCACACUGGAACUGAGACACGGUCCAGACUCCUACGGGAGGCAGCAGUGGGGAAUAUUGGACAAUGGGCGCAAGCCUGAUCCAGACAUACCGCGUGGGUGAGGAAGGCCUUCGGGUUGUAAAGCCCUUUUGUUGGGAAAGAAAAGCAGCAGGUUAAUACCCCGCUGUUCUGACGGUACCCAAAGAAUAAGCACCGGCUAACUUCGUG